CAGCUCUCCGAGUGGUGGGGAUGCUUAUUGGGCCUAAAGCAUUCGUAGCCGGUUGGGCAAGUCCUCCGUUAAAUCCAGCGAUUCAAUCGUUGGACUGCGGGGGAUACUGCCCGGCUUGGGGGCGGAAGAGGCCGACGGUAUUCUCGGGGUAGGGGUGAAAUCCUAUAAUCCCGGGAGGACCACCAGUGGCGAAGGCUGUCGGCUAGAACGCGCCCGACGGUGAGGGAUGAAAGCUAGGGGAGCGAACCGGAUUAGAUACCCGAGUAGUCC
rnacentral:rRNA from 1 species